UCGAACGGAGUUAUAUUAUAGCUUGCUAUGGUAUAACUUAGUGGCAGACGGGUGAGUAAUGUAUAGGAAUCUACCUAGUAGUACGGAAUAAUUGUUGGUAACGGCAACUAAUACCGUAUACGCCCUACGGGGGAAAAAUUUAUUGCUAUUAGAUGAGCCUAUAUUAGAUUAGCUAGUUGGUGGGGUAAUAGCCUACCAAGGCAAUGAUCUAUAGCUGAUCUGAGAGGAUGAUCAGCCACACUGGAACUGAGAUACGGUCCAGACUUCUACGGGAGGCAGCAGUGGGGAAUAUUGGACAAUGGGCGAAAGCCUGAUCCAGCCAUGUCGCAUGAGUGAAGAAGGCCUUUGGGUUGUAAAGCUCUUUUAGUGAGGAAGAUAAUGACGGUACUCACAGAAGAAGUCCUGGCUAACUCCGUGCCAGCAGCCGCGGUAAUACGGAGAGGGCUAGCGUUAUUCGGAAUUAUUGGGCGUAAAGGGCGCGUAGGCUGAUUAAUAAGUUAAAAGUGAAAUCCCGAGGCUUAACCUUGGAAUUGCUUUUAAAACUAUUAAUCUAGAGAUUGAAAGAGGAUAGAGGAAUUCCUGAUGUAGAGGUAAAAUUCGUAAAUAUUAGGAGGAACACCAGUGGCGAAGGCGUCUAUCUGGUUCAAAUCUGACGCUGAGGCGCGAAGGCGUGGGGAGCAAACAGGAUU
rnacentral:rRNA from 1 species